AGUGAACGCUGGCGGUAGGCCUAACACAUGCAAGUCGAACGGCAGCACAGUAAGAGCUUGCUCUUACGGGUGGCGAGUGGCGGACGGGUGAGGAAUACAUCGGAAUCUACUUUUUCGGGGGGGAUAACGUAGGGAAACUUACGCUAAUACCGCAUACGACCUACGGGUGAAAGCAGGGGAUCUUCGGACCUUGCGCGAUUGAAUGAGCCGAUGUCGGAUUAGCUAGUUGGCGGGGUAACGGCCCACCAAGGCAACGAUCCGUAGCUGGUCUGAGAGGAUGAUCAGCCACACUGGAACUGAGACACGGUCCAGACUCCUACGGGAGGCAGCAGUGGGGAAUAUUGGACAAUGGGCGCAAGCCUGAUCCAGCCAUGCCGCGUGAGUGAAGAAGGCCUUCGGGUUGUAAAGCCCUUUUGUUAGGAAAGAAAAGCAGCAGGUUAAUACCCCGCUGUUCUGACGGUACCCAAAGAAUAAGCACCGGCUAACUUCGUG
rnacentral:rRNA from 1 species